CGUAUUCGAGGUGGCGGACGGGUGACGUAACGCGUGGGUAACCUGCCUUACACAGGGGGAUAACACCUGGAAACAGGUGCUAAUACCGCAUAAGCGCACAGGGCCGCAUGGCCCGGUGUGAAAAACUCCGGUGGUGUAAGAUGGACCCGCGUCUGAUUAGCUUGUUGGCGGGGUAGGGGCCCACCAAGGCGACGAUCAGUAGCCGGCCUGAGAGGGUGGACGGCCACAUUGGGACUGAGACACGGCCCAAACUCCUACGGAAGGCAGCAG
rnacentral:rRNA from 1 species